GCCCCCGUAGCUCAGUGGAUAGAGCAGCGGUUUCCUAAACCGCGUGCGCUGGUCGAUUCCGGCCGGGGGCA
rnacentral:tRNA from 1 species